rnacentral:rRNA from 1 species
AGGAUGAACGCUGGCGGCGUGCCUAACACAUGCAAGUCGAACGUCCUGUCUCGCAAGAGGCAGGGAGUGGCGGACGGGUGAGUACCACGUGGGUUAUCUACCGUGAGGUGAGGAAUACCGGCGAGAAAUCGCCGACAAGACCGCAUAGCCUCGGUGCAAGCCGAGCAAAGCUCUUUCGAGAGAGGGAGCGCCACACGAGGAGCCUGCGCCCGAUUAGCUAGCUGGUGGAGUAACGGUUCACCAGGGCGACGAUCGGUAGCUGGUCUGAGAGGACGAUCAGCCACACUGGGAUUGAGAACGGCCCAGACUCCUACGGGGGGCAGCAGUGAGGAAUUUUCGUCAAUGGGGGCAACCCUGAACGAGCAACGCCGCGUGCAGGAAGAAGGUUUUCGGAUCGUAAACUGCUUUUCUCGGGGAAGAGAACGGACGGUACCCGAGGAAUCAGCCCCGGCUAACUACGUGCCAGCAGCCGCGGUAA